rnacentral:rRNA from 1 species
UACGACUACAUAUCAGGCAUAUCAAUAAGCGGAGGAAAAGAAACUAACAAGGAUUCCCUUAGUAACGGCGAGUGAAGCGGGAAGAGCUCAAAUUUGAAAUCUUCAAGGUUCUACCUUGACGAAUUGUAGUUUAUAGAAGUGUUUUCUGUUAGAUGAGUAGCAAAAGUUCCUUGGAAUGGGACAUCAUAGAGGGUGAGAAUCCCGUAUUUGGUUAUUCAUUCUAGCUUUGUGAUACACUUUCAAAGAGUCGGAUUGUUUGGGAAUGCAGUCCAAAAUGGGUGGUAAAUUUCAUCUAAAGCUAAAUAUUGGCGAGAGACCGAUAGCGAACAAGUACCGUGAGGGAAAGAUGAAAAGAACUUUGAAAAGAGAGUUAAACAGUACGUGAAAUUGUCAAAAGGGAAGCGUUUGACACCAGUGUUGUUUAGUUGAAAAUCAAUUCAAUAGUUUUUGAUUCUAAGUAGUAUUGACUUCAUCAGCUUGCUGCUUUCUUCUCAGAAAGUUAUUGAAUGCACUUUUCAGUUAACAAGUCAACAUCAAUUUCUCUUGUUGUAAAAGGGUAAGAGGAAGGUGGCUUGCGCUUCGGCUCAAGUGUUUAUAGCCUUUUAUCUCUGCAAUCGGAGAGAUUGAGGUCUGCAGCGUAGAUCCUUCGGGGUUAGAUACAUUGGUGCUAAGCUAUAGCCUUGUAUAGACAACUUGUUGACUAUGCUCAGUCAUGUAGCUUACUCGCUGAUGCUAUUUUACCUACGCUUAGGAUGUUGAGUAGCGACAUACGCAC